CCGUAACUAUAACGGUCCUAAGGUAGCGAAAUUCCUUGUCGGGUAAGUUCCGACCUGCACGAAUGGCGUAAUGAUGGCCAGGCUGUCUCCACCCGAGACUCAGUGAAAUUGAACUCGCUGUGAAGAUGCAGUGUACCCGCGGCAAGACGGAAAGACCCCGUGAACCUUUACUAUAGCUUGACACUGAACAUUGAGCCUUGAUGUGUAGGAUAGGUGGGAGGCUUUGAAGUGUGGACGCCAGUCUGCAUGGAGCCGACCUUGAAAUACCACCCUUUAAUGUUUGAUGUUCUAACGUUGACCCGUAAUCCGGGUUGCGGACAGUGUCUGGUGGGUAGUUUGACUGGGGCGGUCUCCUCCUAAAGAGUAACGGAGGAGCACGAAGGUUGGCUAAUCCUGGUCGGACAUCAGGAGGUUAGUGCAAUGGCAUAAGCCAGCUUGACUGCGAGCGUGACGGCGCGAGCAGGUGCGAAAGCAGGUCAUAGUGAUCCGGUGGUUCUGAAUGGAAGGGCCAUCGCUCAACGGAUAAAAGGUACUCCGGGGAUAACAGGCUGAUACCGCCCAAGAGUUCAUAUCGACGGCGGUGUUUGGCACCUCGAUGUCGGCUCAUCACAUCCUGGGGCUGAAGUAGGUCCCAAGGGUAUGGCUGUUCGCCAUUUAAAGUGGUACGCGAGCUGGGUUUAGAACGUCGUGAGACAGUUCGGUCCCUAUCUGCCGUGGGCGCUGGAGAACUGAGGGGGGCUGCUCCUAGUACGAGAGGACCGGAGUGGACGCAUCACUGGUGUUCGGGUUGUCAUGCCAAUGGCACUGCCCGGUAGCUAAAUGCGGAAGAGAUAAGUGCUGAAAGCAUCUAAGCACGAAACUUGCCCCGAGAUGAGUUCUCCCUGACUCCUUGAGAGUCCUGAAGGAACGUUGAAGACGACGACGUUGAUAGGCCGGGUGUGUAAGCGCAGCGAUGCGUUGAGCUAACCGGUACUAAUGAACCGUGAGG
rnacentral:rRNA from 1 species